CCUACGGGUGGCAGCAGUAAGGAAUAUUGGUCAAUGGACGAAAGUCUGAACCAGCCAUGCCGCGUGGAGGAUGAAGGUCCUCUGGAUUGUAAACUUCUUUUAUAUGGGACGAAAAAAGGGUUUUCUAACUCGUCUGACGGUACCAUAUGAAUAAGCACCGGCUAACUCCGUGCCAGCAGCCGCGGUAAUACGGAGGGUGCAAGCGUUAUCCGGAUUCACUGGGUUUAAAGGGUGCGUAGGUGGGUUGGUAAGUCAGUGGUGAAAUCCCCGAGCUUAACUUGGGAACUGCCAUUGAUACUAUCAGUCUUGAAUAUCGUGGAGGUUAGCGGAAUAUGUCAUGUAGCGGUGAAAUGCUUAGAUAUGACAUAGAACACCAAUUGCGAAGGCAGCUGGCUACACGAAUAUUGACACUGAGGCACGAAAGCGUGGGGAUCAAACAG
rnacentral:rRNA from 1 species